ACAUCAAUCCCUUGGGAUCUUGUUAAAAUGCAGAUUAUGAUUCAGGAAUCUGGGUGGUGUCUGAGAUUUUGUAUUUCUAACAAGCUCUCAGGUGAUACCCAU
rnacentral:pre_miRNA from 1 species